rnacentral:lncRNA from 1 species
UUUUGCAUAGUAGUUAAAACAAAAUCUGGAAUCAAGUUUAGAAAAUCUUUAAGAAGAUGAUAUUUGUAAUAAUAUUAGCUGCUCAAUUUAAAAAAAUUAAAUAACAAAAUCAAAAACAAUUUUUUUUUUUUUUGCAAAAUGGGACUGAUAUGGUUUCAUCAUCAUCAAUGCACUAAGACGUACAUAGGAAACCCACCAAGUUGUUCCACCUCUUUUUCUUGUGCGUUACAAUAACUUUCUCCAGAAAAUCGCAACCCCUCAC